rnacentral:rRNA from 1 species
UGGAAACGACUGCUAAUACCGCAUAAGCCCACGACCCGGCAUCGGGUUGAGGGAAAAGGAGCAAUCCGCUUUGAGAUGGCCUCGCGUCCGAUUAGCUAGUUGGUGAGGUAACGGCCCACCAAGGCGACGAUCGGUAGCCGGACUGAGAGGUUGAACGGCCACAUUGGGACUGAGACACGGCCCAGACUCCUACGGGAGGCAGCAGUGGGGAAUAUUGCACAAUGGGGGAAACCCUGAUGCAGCGACGCCGCGUGGAGGAAGAAGGUCUUCGGAUUGUAAACUCCUGUUGUUGAGGAAGAUAAUGACGGUACUCAACAAGGAAGUGACGGCUAA